rnacentral:lncRNA from 1 species
CUUCAGAGGUUAGUGAGGGGUCAGAAAUAUUUCUGGUUCAAUGUUAACUUGAAUAAUUUUCGUUUUGCUUUCCCCAUAGGAAUCUAAAAAUGGGCUACAUUUCAAGUCUCGACUGAAAAUUUCCAGCCAGUAUCUAGCAUCACAAAACUUGAAGCAGCCUGGACUGCAGUGCUUGUGGGAAGAAUAACCCUGGGACCACCUGGCCUAACAGGGAAGCGUCAGUGAAAGCUUGGUACUGAACUGCUACUUAUAGAGCACACCCAUUUAAGAGGACACUAGAGACAAAGGACAACGCUCAACAGGACACAUAACUCAGAAUCUCAGAAGUCAGAAGCCUGCAGAAUCAUAAACACAGGAGCUAAAGACUAACUGGCCAACCACUUGGACCUUCUUGUCUGAGAAGACCGUUGUGGCAGCUGCAACACAACUGAGGGCCUCCAAAGAAGCUCAAUUUACUCAAGAUGUGUUGCUAACACUUCAGCCUCCAACUUGUGUCUAGGAAGGACAGGCCAAGAGAUCACAGCGAUCUAUGUCUGUCUCAUUCUUGAGCCACUGGAUCCAUGUCAUCUGCCACUCAACUUCAGACCUCUCAUAGCACGCUGAAGUCCUCUGCUAGCUGCGUCAGCUCCUGUAAAUUAGGUUUCCCGUUACAUGCAGCCG